rnacentral:rRNA from 1 species
UACGUAGGUGGCAAGCGUUGUUCGGAAUUACUGGGCGUAAAGCGUGCGCAGGCGGCUUCUCAAGUCAGGGGUGAAAGCCCAGAGCUUAACUCUGGAAUUGCCUUUGAGACUGAGAGGCUUGAGUACGGGAGAGGUGAGUGGAAUUCCCAGUGUAGAGGUGAAAUUCGUAGAUAUUGGGGAAGAACACCGGUGGCGAAGGCGGCUCACUGGCCCGUAACUGACGCUCAUGCACGACAGCGUGGGGAUCAAACAGG